rnacentral:rRNA from 1 species
GAAAGGAAUGCUAAUACCGCAUAAGACCACGGUCAGUUCGCUGAUCGAGGUAAAAGCUGGCCUCUACUUGUAAGCUAGCACCUAGGGAUGAGCCUGCGGCCCAUCAGCUUGUUGGUAGGGUAACGGCCUACCAAGAUUAGGACGGGUAGCUGGUCUGAGAGGAUGAUCAGCCACACUGGCACUGAAACACGGGCCAGACUCCUACGGGAGGCAGCAGUCGGGAAUAUUGGACAAUGGGCGAAAGCCUGAUCCAGCGACGCCGCGUGAGUGAUGAAGGCCUUCGGGUUGUAAAGCUCUGCGGGGAGGGAAGAAAAAGAUGUGUUCAAAUAGGGCAUGUUAUUGACGGUACCUCCUUAGCAAGCACCGGCUAACUCUGUGCCAGCAGCCGCGGUAAGACAGAGGGUGCGAACGUUGCUCGGAAUUACUGGGCGUAAAGCGCGUGUAGGUGGAUUGGUAAGUCAGAUGUGAAAGCCCCUGGGCUCAACCUAGGAUCUGCAUUUGAAACUGCCAGUCUUGAUUGGUG